UACAGAGACUGCGAGCGUUAUUCGGAUUCACUGGGCGUAAAGGGUGCGCAGGCGGCCAAGUGUGUGAGGCGUGAAAGCCUGGAGCUUAACUCCAGAAUUGCACCUCAAACUACUUGGCUAGAGCAUUGGAGAGGGUAGCGGAAUUCACGGUGUAGCAGUGAAAUGCGUAGAUAUCGUGAGGAAGACCAGUGGCGAAGGCGGAUCUCUGGACAGCUCCUGACGCUGAGGCGACGAAGGCUAGGGGAGCAAACGGG
rnacentral:rRNA from 1 species